CUAAUAGUUUCUAAAAUGAUUUCAGUUUGGGAGGUAUUCCUGCCUUCUUCG
rnacentral:rRNA from 1 species